AGUCGUGGGGCAGCGCAGGUAGCAAUNCUGGGCGGCGACCGGCAAACGGGUGCGGAACACGUACACAACCUUCCGAGAAGUGGGGAAUAGCCCAGAGAAAUUUGGAUUAAUACCCCGUAACAUAACGAUGUGGCAUCACAUUGUUAUUAUAGCUUCGGCGCUUCUUGAUGGGUGUGCGGCUGAUUAGAUAGUUGGCGGGGUAACGGCCCACCAAGUCUACGAUCAGUAGCUGAUGUGAGAGCAUGAUCAGCCACACGGGCACUGAGACACGGGCCCGACUCCUACGGGAGGCAGCAGUAAGGAAUAUUGGUCAAUGGACGCAAGUCUGAACCAGCCAUGCCGCGUGAAGGAUUAAGGUCCUCUGGAUUGUAAACUUCUUUUAUCUGGGACGAAAAAAGGCGAUUCUUCGUCACUUGACGGUACCAGAUGAAUAAGCACCGGCUAACUCCGUGCCAGCAGCCGCGGUAAUACGGAGGGUGCAAGCGUUAUCCGGAUUCACUGGGUUUAAAGGGUGCGUAGGCGGGCAGGUAAGUCAGUGGUGAAAUCCUAGAGCUUAACUCUAGAACUGCCAUUGAUACUAUCUGUCUUGAAUAUUGUGGAGGUAAGCGGAAUAUGUCAUGUAGCGGUGAAAUGCUUAGAUAUGACACGGAACACCUAUUGCGAAGGCAGCUUACUACGCAUAUAUUGACGCUGAGGCACGAAAGCGUGGGGAUCAAACAGGAUUAGAUACCCUGGUAGUCCACGCCCUAAACGAUGAUUACUCGACAUUUGUGAUACACUAUAAGUGUCUGAGCGAAAGCAUUAAGUAAUCCACCUGGGAAGUACGACCGCAAGGUUGAAACUCAAANNNNNNGNCGGGGGUCCNNNNNNNCGGUGGAGCAUGUGGUUUAAUUCG
rnacentral:rRNA from 1 species